UACGGAGGGUGCGAGCGUUGUCCGGAAUCACUGGGCGUAAAGGGCGCGUAGGCGGCAGGCCAAGCGUGCGGUGAAAGUCCGGGGCUCAACCCCGGAUCUGCCGUGCGGACUGGUUUGCUAGAGCACUGUAGAGGCGAGUGGAAUUCCGGGUGUAGCGGUGGAAUGCGUAGAGAUCCGGAAGAACACCGGUGGCGAAGGCGGCUCGCUGGGCAGUGGCUGACGCUGAGGCGCGACAGCGUGGGGAGCAAACGGG
rnacentral:rRNA from 1 species